GUUGAAACACCAAUUCUCGUACGAUCAACGAAGUUAAGCAAAGUCGAGCAUGGUCAGUGCCUAGAUGGGUGACCGAUUGUGAAUACCAGAUGUUGUAAG